rnacentral:rRNA from 1 species
UACGUAGGGUGCAAGCGUUGUCCGGAAUUAUUGGGCGUAAAGAGCUCGUAGGCGGUCUGUCGCGUCGAAUGUGAAAACCCGGGACUCAACUCCGGGCCUGCAUUCGAUACGGGCAGACUAGAGUUCGGUAGGGGAGACUGGAAUUCCUGGUGUAGCGGUGAAAUGCGCAGAUAUCAGGAGGAACACCGAUGGCGAAGGCAGAUCUCUGGGCCGUAACUGACGCUGAGGAGCGAAAGCAUGGGGAGCAAACAGG